rnacentral:rRNA from 1 species
AUUGAACGCUGGCGGCAGGCUUAACACAUGCAAGUCGAGCGGAGUGAUGGUGCUUGCACUAUCACUUAGCGGCGGACGGGUGAGUAAUGCUUAGGAAUCUGCCUAUUAGUGGGGGACAACAUCUCGAAAGGGAUGUUAAUACCGCAUACGUCCUACGGGAGAAAGCAGGGGAUCACUUGUGACCUUGCGCUAAUAGAUGAGCCUAAGUCGGAUUAGCUAGUUGGUGGGGUAAAGACCUACCAAGGCGACGAUCUGUAGCGGGUCUGAGAGGAUGAUCCGCCACACUGGGACUGAGACACGGCCCAGACUCCUACGGGAGGCAGCAGUGGGGAAUAUUGGACAAUGGGGGGAACCCUGAUCCAGCCAUGCCGCGUGUGUGAAGAAGGCCUUAUGGUUGUAAAGCACUUUAAGCGAGGAGGAGGCUCUUUUGGUUAAUACCCAAGAUGAGUGGACGUUACUCGCAGAAUAAGCACCGGCUAACUCUGUGCCAGCAGCCGCCGUAA